rnacentral:misc_RNA from 1 species
GAUUAAAGAAAAUUUUAUUCCUUUGGAAUCAAAGGUUAAAGAACCAUCAAAGAGCUACAGAGAGGCAAACACAGCCAACAAAUAAACCUACAAUGACAAUUUUCAGCUGGUUGGAAACUUGUUUUGCUUUGCUUCUACAACCUCCAAGAUGAUGAAAAAUUUUCCCAAUUAAUCACUUGUAUCGGCCAAGAAACGCCUUCUAAACUUGAAUUUCCUUGGCGACCGAUUUGUAUCAGCAUCAGGCGAGGAGUGAAUUGGUGCAAUUCUUUAAUGGAUUCAUGAAGCAGAAAUACCGUGAUUCUUGGGAGGACAUAUCCAGGCCAGAAGAAACCUUUUGCUUCCUUGCGUUUCUCCGUCUACUACUACCGCCGACUCCUCCUUGAAUUCCUCCUCUUGCCCCCUUCCCCUUCUUGAAAUCUUGUUGGUGUUCCACCUGUCUUCAUACCAUCAAACCCAAACAAUGAUUCAUCCACAUCACCCAUAACAGUACUUCAUAAGGAGUUGACGUACAUGAACUUACCCCUAAACGAAAUUUCUGAAAGUGAGAGCCAAGUCCAAGAGAAUCCUCCACCUUAAACUCCCCAAAGUUCAUCUCAGAGAAAUAACGCUUGUCGUUGCAGCUGGAACUUUCACUGUAAGAUGCAUAGGAAGAAGAAGUAGAAGAAUACAUAGUAGCGGUGGCUGUAGCAGUAGCGGUAGCGGCAGCUUGACAGCUUCCUCCAAAUGACUCGAUGUCCUCUUGGAACAUUUCUUCAAAUAAUUCCUGUAAAUCCUCAAAGCUCUCCUCCCCAUUUUCAUUAGGCUUUAUUUGGCUCAUCAUGGAUGCCAUUUCACUGAGAAAAUCACCCAUAUCAUCGUACAGAAACCUCUGGCUGG